rnacentral:rRNA from 1 species
AGUGAACGCUGGCGGUAGGCCUAACACAUGCAAGUCGAACGGCAGCACAGUAAGAGCUUGCUCUUACGGGUGGCGAGUGGCGGACGGGUGAGGAAUACAUCGGAAUCUACUUUUUCGUGGGGGAUAACGUAGGGAAACUUACGCUAAUACCGCAUACGACCUACGGGUGAAAGCAGGGGAUCUUCGGACCUUGCGCGAUUGAAUGAGCCGAUGUCGGAUUAGUUGGUUGGCGGGGUAAAGGCCCACCAAGGCGACGAUCCGUAGCUGGUCUGAGAGGAUGAUCAGCCACACUGGAACUGAGACACGGUCCAGACUCCUACGGGAGGCAGCAGUGGGGAAUACUGGACAAUGGGCGCAAGCCUGAUCCAGCCAUACCGCGUGGGUGAAGAAGGCCUUCGGGUUGUAAAGCCCUUUUGUUGGGAAAGAAAAGCAGCAGGUUAAUACCCCGCUGUUCUGACGGUACCCAAAGAAUAAGCACCGGCUAACUUCGUG